UACCACUUGUUGCCUCGGCGGAUCAGCCCGCUCCCGGUAAAACGGGACGGCCCGCCAGAGGACCCCUAAAACUCUGUUUCUAUAUGUAACUUCUGAGUAAAACCAUAAAUAAAUCAAAACUUUCAACAACGGAUCUCUUGGUUCUGGCAUCGAUGAAGAACGCAGCAAAAUGCGAUAAGUAAUGUGAAUUGCAGAAUUCAGUGAAUCAUCGAAUCUUUGAACGCACAUUGCGCCCGCCAGUAUUCUGGCGGGCAUGCCUGUUCGAGCGUCAUUUCAACCCUCAAGCACAGCUUGGUGUUGGGACUCGCGUUAAUUCGCGUUCCUCAA
rnacentral:rRNA from 1 species